UUCUUCAGGGUUGGGUGCGAUUCCCUACUGGCGGUAUAGUCCGCGAACCGAGAGAGUGAUCUCAAGGCCGAUCCGGUGAAACUCCGAAACCAACAGUACAGUCUGGAUGAAAGAAGAA
rnacentral:ncRNA from 1 species